CCUACGGGAGGCUGCAGUGAGGAAUAUUGGUCAUUGGGCGCGAGCCUGCACCAGCAAAGUAGCGUGACGGAUGACUGCCCUAAGGGUUGUAAACUUCUUUUAUAAAGGAAUAAAGUGAGGCACGUGUGCCUUUUUGUAUGUACUUUAUGAAUAAGGAUCGGCUAACUCCGUGACAGGAGCCGCGGUAAUACGGAGGAUCCGAGCGUUAUCCGGAUUUAUUGGGGUUAAAGGGAGCGUAGAUGGGUUUUUAAGUCAGUUGUGAAAGUUUGCGGCUCAACCGUAAAAUUGCAGUUGAUACUGGCAGCAUUGAGUACAGUUGAGGUAGGCGGAAUUCGUGGUGUAGCGGUGAAAUGCUUAGAUAUCACGAAGAACUCCGAUUGCGAAGGCAGCUUACUAAACUGCCACUGACAUUGAUGCUCGAAAGUGUGGGUAUCAAACAGGAUUAGAUACCCGGGUAGUC
rnacentral:rRNA from 1 species